AAAUGCCUGGUCAACCACCUUCAAAGACUCAAGUCUGACUCCUUCUCUCAAGUGGCAGCAGUAGCUAAGCUCUGGGUUCAAAUUUCGUUCUUGCUGGAUGACAUGGGGCAAGUUACUUAACCUCUCUGUGCUUCAGAUGUAAAGCCAGGAUAAUAGCAGUACCUACUUCAUGGGAUUGUUAUGAGGAUUAAGUGAGUUAAUGUUUACAACACGUUUAGCUUAAUACCUGGCACAUGGCAAUCACCCAGUAAAUGUAAGUUGUUACUACCAGCUCCAUGGAGCUGCUCAGAGAUGCAAUUUUAUAGUCCGUGGAAUGUGUUUGAAGCAGGGUCUGGCAUACAAUAAUACUGCACUCUUUGUGGGAGUUUAAUAAAUAAUAAAGUGGCUUUUCUUGCCUCUUGGUUAAGAGAACAUCUGUGACAUUCAAACAGACCUAAGUAAUGUGAGCAAUCAAAUUACCAAACUCCUUUGGGGCAAACAUUUGGAAAUGGCAGAUGAAAAGACUGAGGCAGAGAAGCCCUUGGCCUGUUCCGGGAGCAGCAGGAGACAAACUGUAGUUAGGCUGGAGAGUUGAGGAAAUCAGAAGUUUGGAAAGUAGCAGGAGGCCAGAUCACCCACGGCCCUGUAGGACAGGGUGACAUUUUCGGACUGUGCAUUUUAUUUACUUUUUAUCUAUUUAAUGUAACUUAAUUUAAAGUUCUAGAACACAUGAGCAGGAUGUGCAGGUUUGAUGCAUAGGUAAAUAAAUGUGUGCCACGGUGGUUUGCUGCACCUAUCAAUCCUUCACUUUGAUAUUAAGCCCCACACGUUUUAGCCAUUCUUUCUAAUGCUCUCCCUCCCUCCACUUCCCUCAACAGGCCCCAGUGUGUGUUGUUCCCCUCCCUGUGUCCGUCCACGUGUUCUCUUAUCCUUCAACUCCCACUUAUAAGUGAGAACAUGUAGUGUUUGGUUUUCUGUCCCUGUGUUAGUUUGCUAAGGAUGAUGACUUCCAGUUCCAUCCACGUUCCUGCAAAGGACGUGAUCUCGUCCCUUUUUGUGGCUGCACAGUAGUCCCUGGUGUAUAUGUACCACACUUUCUUUAUCUGAUCUGUCAUUGAUGAGCAUUUGGGUUGACUCCAUGUCAUUGCUAUUGUGAAUAGUGCUACGAUGAACAUAUGCAUCAUGUAUCUUUAUAAUAGAAUGAUUUAUAUUCCUUUGGGUAUAUAACCAGUAAUGAGAUUGCUGGGUCAAAUGAUAUUUUUGGUUCUAGUUCUUUGAGGAAACCCCACACUGUCUUCCACAAUGGUUGAUCUAAUUUACAUUCCCACCAACAGUGUAAGUGUUCCUAUUUCUCCACAGCCUCACCAGCAUCUGUUGACCUUUUAAUAAUUGCCAUUCUGACUGGCAUGAGAUAGUAUCUCAUUGUGGUUUUGGUUUGCCUAUUUCUAAUGAUCAGUGGUGUUGAACUUUUUUUCAUGUUUGUUGGCCAUAUAAAUGUCUUCUUUUAAGAAAUGUCUGUUCAUGUCCAUUGCCCACUUUUUAAUGGGGUCAUUUGUUUCUUUCUCAUACAUUAGUUUAAGUUCCUUGAAGAUUCUGGAUAUUAGAACUUUGUCAAAUGGAUAGAUGUGAAAAUUCUCAUUUUGUAGAUUGUCUAUUCACUCUGAUGAUAGUUUCUUUUGCUGUGCAGAAGUUCCUGAGUUUAAUUAGAUCCCAUUUGUCAUUUUUGUUUUUAUUGCAAUUGCUUUUGACAUUUUCAUUAUGAAAUCUUUGCCCAUGCCUAUGUACUGAAUGGUAUUGCUUAGAUUUUCUUCUAGGACUUUUAUAGUUUUGGGUUUUACAUUUAAAUCUUUAAUCCAUCUUGAGUAUUAUGUCUAAAUAAGGUGUAAGGAAGGGAUCCAAUUUCAAUUUUCUGCCUAUGGCUAAGCCAUUUUUCCCAGCACCAUUUAUUAAAUAGGAAAUCCUUUCCCCAUUGCUUGUUUUUGUCAGGUAUGUCAAAAAUCGAAUGGUUGUAGAUGUGAGGUCUUAUUUCUGAGAUCUCUAUUAUGUUUCUUUGGUCUAUGUGUCUGUAUUUGUAUUUUAUUUUUAACCCAUUCAUGUAUAUUUUAUUUUUAACCCAUUCAAGGUCACCAAAAGACUUGAUCUGGUAUAUUAUUUUAAAGGCUCAAUCUGGCAUUGGUAUUGAGAAUAAAUUGUAGGAGGAUAAGGAUGGAGAACAGCUAGUAGCAGUAACACAGAUGGCAAAGGAAAAAAGAAGGUGGAUUCUGAAUAUAGUUUGAAGGUAGCAGCAGCUGGAUUUGCUGAUGAAUUGGAUGUAGUAUUUGCAAGAAAGAGAUGAGUCAAAGAUGAUACCAAGAUUUUUUAUAUGUGUAACUGACCAAAGGAAAGAACUCACUGCACUAUGGAGCUAUGGGAAAACAGGAGGUAAAGUAGAUUUGGUCUUGGGAAGAGGAAUAAAUCACGAAUUCCGUUUUUGAUGUGCUAAGUUUGAGAUGCCUAUUAGCCCCGAACAGGAGGCAUCAAGUAGCCACUUGGGUAUAAGCAUCUGGAGUUUGGGCAAGGUAUUAAUGCUGGGGGCAAUAAUGAGGGAGGCUUUAGCUUUGGACAGUUUUUAAAGCCAAGAGCAUACAUAAAAUCCUGUGAAGAGUGUGUGCAGAAACAAAAGAAGAGUUUCAGAGUGUCAGCCAUGAGCCAGUCCUCUAGCAGAGGCCAGAAAGAUGAGAGAGCCUCAUCAAAGAGAACUGGGGGAGGGUAACCCCUGAGACAAGAGAAAAGGUACCCUGAAAGUUAUUAAUGAUAUUGACAAGAGGAAUCAUUUUAGAGGAACGAUGAGGACAAAGCCCAUUUAUAGUAGGUUCAGGAGACUAUGUGAGAAGAGAGGUGGUAUCAGUAAGUUAGCUGGAGUUUGUGUAUGUGGAGAGUUUUUCUGUAAAAUGGAAGAGAGAAAUAAAGCCAUGGCUAGAGGAUGCUGGGCAGUCAGGAGAGAGUAUUUUGUUCUGAGGUGAGAUUAUCACAGUGUGUUUGUGGGAUGCUGGGAUGACCAAGUAGGCAAGCAACAAUUGACAAUGUGCCAGUAAUUUCCCUCAGCCCGCUGAGCUCAAGAGAUCCUCCUGCCUUGGUCUCCCGAGUAGCUGGGACUACAGGUGUGCACCACUGUGGGCCUGGCUAGUUUUUUAUUUAUUUAUUUUGUAGCAACAGGGUUUCGCCAUGUUGCCCAGGCUGGUCUCGAACUUCUGGACUCAUAUAUUGGUGAGAGGUAUCCAAAGCACAGGUGAGAGUGUGGGUAGGAGCUCCACCACCUCACAGAAGAAAGACGAAAAACACAGCUCUCAGGGUUAGGAGGUUCAUGGAUUUGGUGAUGAUGACAUAUGGAUGUCCUUUUCUGCUGCUUCUCAGUGAAAUGAGAAAAAAAAAAGUCAUCUUCUGAGAGUGGGUGGGUGCUGGUAAACCUGGAAGGAGACCAGGAGAGCACAUGGACUGUGGAUUAUCAGGGUGUCAUCAAAUGGUCAGGAAUUUUUUUUAAAGGUCAGUUAGUACGUUGUGUUCUUUUCCCCACUGCUUAAAUAAAGGGUGAAAGUGAGAAGAGCUGGGUUUGCCAGGGUUGAAGUUUGAUGCAUGUACUUGUGUUCUAGGAUUACCAUAAUAAAGUGCCACAACUGGGUGGCUUAAACAACAGAAACAUAUCGUCUCACAGGCCUGGAGGCUGGAAGUCCAAAAUCCAGGUGUCAUCAGACUGAUUUCUUCUGAGACCUCUUCCCUUGGCUUGUAAGUGGCUGUCUUCUCACUCUGUCUUCAUGUGGUCUUCCCUCAGAACUCCUGUGUGUCCAAUUUUCCUCUUUUUAUAAGAACACCAGUCAUACUGAAUUUGGGUUCACUUUAACGACCUCAUUUUAACAUAAUUAUCUCUUUCAAGCGAUUACCCUGUCUUCAAAUACAGUCAUAUUCUAAGGUCCUGAGGGUUAGGAUUUCAACAUACGAAUUUGCGGGGUACACCAUUCAGCCUCUAACACCAGUAAGUAUUAUGGAGAAAAAAAAUCAAGGAGGUAUAGACUUUAAGCAAAGAUGGGUUUUGUUUUGGGUUUUGUGGGUUGCUUUGUUUCUGUUUUUUGUUCUUUGUUCUUUGGUGGGGUUUUGUUGUUGCUUUUUGGGGUUUUUUUUUUUGAGACAGGGUAUUGCUCUGUCACCCAAGCUCUGGAUGCAGUGCUGAGAUCAUGGCUCACUGCAGCCUCAAACUCCUGGGCUCAAGUGAUCCUACUGCCUCAUUCCCCCAAGUAGCUGGGACUACAGGUAUGCACCACUACACCUGGCUAACUUUUUGUAUUUUUUCAUAGAGAUGGGGUUUUACCAUGUUGUCCAGGCUGAUUUCAAACUCCUGGAUUCAAGCCAUUCACUCUCCUCAAGGAUGAGAUUUUAAUAAUGAUCCAUUGCAUCUAAGUCCCACAGAAACUGAAGUGAGGGCAAAAGGAGGGUGAGAGAUCACGAAAAGAUGGGAGAGCUCAUGGCUGGAAGGUCCUGAAGGGACCAAAGAGUUGAUACAAGAAGAUAACAUUUGUACUUGAGUGCUUUCAUAGGCAAUGCAGACUCACUGUGUUCAAAACUGAACUGUUGAUCUUUCUGUCAAACCAGCUCCUCUUCUGGUCUUUGGCAUUUCCAUGAAAAGAGCCAACAUCUCCCUCAGUUACUCAAGCUAGAAAUUUCAGUCUUUCACUCUUCCCUCCCCCUUAUCCCACAUAUCCACAUAGACAUUGGUUCCUACUGCCUGAAAAUUAUUCAUUAAAUAACCAUUUUCUUCAUCUCCACUACCACCAACUUAGUCCAAGAGAAAGUUCACCUCCUCUCUCACUCAGGAAGAGCUUCCCCGCCAUCCUCCCCAAUCCACUCUUUCCACCUUCCUCCAUGUAUUGUCUACACCACAGCCAGGCUGGUGGGGUUUUUUUUUUUUUCCAAGCUACCCCUUUUAAAGACAUAAAUUUUACAACAUAAUUCUGGCUCCCUCCCCUCUUGCUCUGGCAAGUAGCCUGUCGGUCAGCCUGGGUCUGCUUCUCCAGCUGCCAUGAGAACCUCUGUCCCCGACAACUCCUAUGCGUCUUCACUCUUGCUGGCCUUCUCUCUGCCCCCAACCAGCCCAAGCUCUCCUCUUCCUCUGGGCCUUCACAGAUGUCAUGCCCUCACCCUGCUUAUUCCUACUGCCCCUUCGUGUCUCAGCUCUAAUGCAACAUCCUCAGGAAGCUUUUUCUAACCCCACUCAGCUCCCAAGCUAGGUUCUAUCUGCAAUUUGUUGUACACACUUCUCGCUGAAUAACAUAGAUGCCAGCAGAUCUCCUGAGACAAUGCCUAUCUCAGAGGCUCUGGUCUAGACCACCUAGCCCAGGAAUGCACACUCUGAGAAUUUUUUUUGAGGUGUUUCCUCCUCAGGAGACCGGAAGUUUGCACAAGGCUAGGUUGACAGCAAUUGAAAUUUAUUCUUUUAGUACCCUGAAAUCAAGUUGAUGUCUAUAAAUGCUGGCGGAACAAACCGGUUUGUGAAUGACUGAGAAAUGUGGGUUUUGCCUCUGGAUUCAAUUCUGUCAUUUCUGACCUUGCUGGUUCCCUGCCUUCUUCUACCUCCUCGUUCUGGGCAUGUGCUUUCUUUCAUGAGGGCUAUAGGCCUAUAUAUAGCACAAGGUUCAAAAUCAGUUACCAUGCAGGAAGUUUUGCCACCUGUUCUUUACAAAACUGAACUUUAUAGUUCAGCUUUCCAUCUUACGAAAUUUAUAACUUUCUAGCUUGUGAAAUGAAACACCUAAGACCUGCUGUAAAACACACCCCUUUGAAAAGGCUAUUUGUUUCUGACAAUAAAUAUGAUAAACAUACAUGGAAUAAACGUCAAAUAGAUCAAAGUGCUAGAUUCAGAAAACAAUUAUUUCUUCUUCCCUGAACUCCUCUCUUCCCAUUUUAAUGAACAAGCAGCAUACACACACACACACACACACACAGAGAGAGAGAGAGAGAGAGAGAGAUCUUUGUUGUUUCAUAAAAAUUACAGCAUCAGAUAUACCCUGUUGUGUACCUGGCUUUCUUCACAUAUAAUAUAUGUUGAAGACAUUAAAUAUCAGCACAUGUUGCUUACGAAAUUCUUUUAGGUGACCCCUAGAAUUCUAUUGUAUAUUAUGCUAGAGUUUACUUAACUAGACCUAUAUAAAUGGGCACAUGAUGCUACCACAAAUAUUCUUGUAGCAUAUAUUUUUAGGUGUUCAAGUACAUACACUCCUAAACGUAGACUUCCUGGGUCAAAAAGUAUAAGCACUUAAAAUUUUGGAAGAUAUUGCCAACAAAAGGGAUGAUGCCAGUUGUGAGGGACAGUGCCUGAGAAUGUGGGUUUUUCAACACUCACACAGUUACAGUUUCAAGUUUGUUUGUGUUCAUUUCUGAUUACUAAUCAUCAGGGAUUUGGGGCAACUUCAGAUUUAGUUCCUCUUCCUGUGCAAUGUAGCGAACACCUGAGUGAAUAAAACCUCAAGGAAAUCCAUAGACCUUUACUUCUGCUACAUCACUUCGUUGUGAACAUUCUCAUUUUUCACCUUAUCUUUCUGCAGGUCAGAUGCUUGGCUACAAACAUCUAGCACUCUGGUAUAUUUGAAGGGAAGAAGAUAACACCUGCACAAGAAACUACCCAGGUCUUCCUACCACACCCUGUUGCUGUGAUAUGAUUUAGGGCAAGUUACUAACAUUUUAGAAUUUCUAUUUUCUCAUCUGUAAAAUGGGUACAGUGCAAUGUCUACUCAUCGGGUUGCAGUGGGGAUUAAUUGAGAUAAUAUACACACCUAGAACAGGCUAGACACUCAACAUAUGGUAAUAUCGUGAUUGCAGAUUUAUUUGUGCAUAGUUAUACUGCAUUGAGGCUUGAAAAACAGCAUAUUCUGACAUUCAUUCAUGCCACAAAUAUUAAGGACCCACCAUGGGCCAGGUACUGUGUUGAGUAUGGAGGGCACAGAAUAAAUGGGUUUUAAGGAAUCCCUGUAUAGCACAGCACUUAAGGGCACUUUGCGGUCAGGUGGGCCAGGGUGGGCUUUACUAUUUGGUCAAAUAAUAAAGAUUCUCUGAAGGACAAGUUCCUCAUCUGUCGAACAGGCUGAAAAAUAUCUGUGGGCGUUGUUAUUGAAUCCUUUGAGAGUUGAAUCAGGUAAUGUAUACAGAGAACUUAGCUGAAUGCCUGGCCCCUAGCAAGUACUCAACAAAUAAGCACUAAUACUGUAGUGGUGAUGUAGCAAACAGGGGGAAUCACAUGAAUUGGAGUAGUUUUUAGGAAGGCUUUGAAAAGACGGUGACACUACAGCACGGUGUUAAGGGCAAGCAAGGUUUGCAAAAAGGAGGAACAGCAUUUAAGCAGAACUUUAGGGAGAAAAACAGGGUGGAUUUGGGGACACCUGGGGACAAGAGGCAUGACUAUCUCCAGAUCACAGAGCUGGUUAGUAAAUACACUGGUUCUAGAAUAAAUAUUACACGUGUUCUUUUUUUGGCCAACUUCAUUAGUCGUUUUAAAAUCAUUCAAUUUUUUAAAAAAUCACAUUUUAGUCAUGCUUGGUGGGUCAUGCCUGUAAUCCCAGCACUUUGAGAGGCUGAGGUGGGUAGAUCACUUGAGGUCAAGAGUUGGGGACUAGCCUGGCCCACAUGGUGAAAUCAGGACUCUACUGAAAAUACAAAAGUAGCUAUAACCCCAGCUACUCGGGAGGCUGAAGCAGGAGAAUCACUUGAGCUUGGGAGGUGGAGGUUGCAAUAAACUGAAACUGCCCCUCUGCACUUCAGCUGGGUGACAGAGGGAGACUGUCUAAAAACACAAAACAAAACAGCAAAAACAUUUUAAAAAGUGGAAAUAGAGAAAAGAAGAAAAAUGCUCCCCCUCAUAGCCCAACUACCAUUGACAUUUUGGUGGUAUCUUUCCUUUUUAGCCUAAUCUUUGAUAGCUUUAAAAAUGAUUACAAAAUAUUAUAUUCAUUUUCUAGAUAUAUAUAAGGAAAUAUAUAAUUAAAUAUAUAUUUCCUUUUCAUAUUUUAGUCCAGGGAUCGAAUAUUGAGUGAGACCUUCCUUGGUUCUUUAUCCAAAAUUGCGACCCUCCCCCUAGUCCUUUUCCUGCUCCCUGCUGAGUUCCUUUCUUACCCCCCAUCACCUCACGUGUGCUAUGGUUUACUUAUCUUGUCUAUUAUAUGUCUAUUCCCCUUUAAAACAUAAGCUUCUGGGGACUGAAUUUGCUUAACUGCUGUAUAUCCAGUACCUAAAACAGUGCAUGGUGCUCAGUAAAUAUUUAGUGUAUGAAUGGAUGAAUAAGGGGAUGGAAGUAAAAAGAAUUGCGUCAAAGUGUGAUACUCAUCAACAAAUAGUUGUGCAGUGCCCUCUAAGUAACAGAGACUUAAGGACGUACCUGAUACAAAGAUUGGUUUCCUUCUACAGUCUAGUAGGGGAUGGAGGUGAGGUAGCAAAACUGUCCCCAAAAUCAGAAAGUAUAGGAUGCAUAUGGUUAUCCAUGAUAUGAGCUUGUAAGGCAGACAUGAAGGCCUGUAAAAGAUGUCUUGAAUUUGGAGUGUCUAAGCUGUCAUCUGAAGGUUAAGGAAUAGUAACUGGGUGAAGGAGGUGGGGCAGCAGGAGAGCUAAAAGGUGAGAUCUGUUGAGCUUCAGUCAGACCUAAGGGAGGAUGUGGCUGAGAAGUUGACUUCUCAUGAACCCCUAUCUUUACUCUGAUUAAAUAAACAAGGAAGCCUAGAAGGAAGAGCAGGAACCCGAGUGAAUUAAAAGCAUUUUGAGGCAUCCUGCCAAGUUCUAUUUAUACUUAUUUCAUUAAAAAUACAGAAAGAGGGCCAGGCAUGGUGGCUCACGCCUGUAAUCCCAGCACUUUGGGAGCUCAAGGCAGGCAGAUAACAAGGCCAAGAGAUUGAGACCAUCUUGACCAACAUGGUGAAACCCUGUCUCUACUAAAAAUACAAAAAUUACCUGGGUGAGGUAUCGCACCACUGCACUCCAGCCUGGGCAACAAGAGCAAAACUCCAUCUCAAAAUAAAAAAAAAGAAAUACAGAAAGAGUAGUAAAUACAAGCUGCAGCCUUGCUUGGUUUAUGAUGUGGGAGGAGAAAUCAUGCAGCUGUCUUACAUGAAUCUGUUAGAAAGAAGUAGGUCACAGGUGUGAUCUGUGUGGCAUCAAUGAGCAUGCUUUUCUUUUGUUUUUGAUAUUCAGCAUUUAUCCAUUCUUUUUUGUGAUGAUAUUUUGACUUGAGGAGGCACAAAAUAUACGAAGGAGACAAAGAUCUCCCUGAAGAAAACAGGUCAACUCUGAGCUUCCUGGUGACUCUCAAAGCCUUGUGAGAGGAGCAGUGUGUAGAAAAGGAGAGAACAAUCCCUGGACCAACCAAAGCCCACAAGCUGCUGCAUCCCGCACCCAAUGCCUACGUCCCACCGCCGGUGCCAGCAAGCCCGAGAGAAUGGCUGAAGGGGAUGCUGAAGAAGAUAAGACCAAGGUGAAGGAUGAACCGCAUGGCAGAUCUGCAAGUUGUCUGCCAACCAUGCCCCUCCAAAGCCAGAGCCGAAGCCUAAAAAGGCCCCUGCAAAGAAGGGAGAGAAGUAGAGACGGAGUUUCACCAUAUUGGCCAGGCUGGUCUCGAGCUCCUGACCUCGAAUGAUCUGCCCACCUCGGCCUCCCAAAGCGUUGGGAUUACAGGCAUGAGCCACCAUGCCCAGCCCCCUUCUAUUUUGGAAAGACUUCCACUUGGUUCCCAGGAGGAGGGAUUCCCUGACUUUGACCACAUGGUCACCUUGGCACGAAAGCCUUAUGCAAACGCGCAAAAGAUGCUGUUGGCUUGUUGACAGGUGAUUUUAUCUGGUGAAUCCGAUGAAGACCCUGGAUCUGUUGGUGAAUGUCCAGCCUGUUGUUGCUGAGUUCGAACCAUGGGAGAGGCAGUUGUUUAUUCUGCAGGCAUCGCUUGAGUGCCAGCCACAUGCUGGGCAUGGCUCUGGUGCUAGGGACAGAGAACUUGGUAUUUCUGGUGAACAAAAGCAAGCAAUUGCCCUGUGGACAUGGAGCUGACCUGGUGGGGGAACUGAAGACAGACGGCACCCUCAUGUCUAGAGGCUUUCCCAGGGAAAUUGGCUGCUUUUGGCUUGAUGUACACUCACAUGUCUUGCAGCAAGCCUGAGCCACAGGGAGAUUACAUAAGAUGCUCAGGCUCAAAGAGCUAGUGGGGGUGGAGAGCUGGUAUUGGAGUCUGGGCUCUGGCGAUUUGGGAGACGAGAUAUGGCCUGGCAGGAACCAUGUGUACACGGUGAAGUAGAAAGAAUAGUAUAGAAAAAUAUAUCUUUACUUAAAUGGAAAAAAUACAUAUAUAUAUUCAUGGAAAAUAUACAUAUUUUCAGUGGAAAAAAAUAUAUAUAUAUUCAUUUAAGUAAAAUCGGAGUAAAGAUAGGAGCUCAUGAGAAGUCAACUUCUCAGCCACAUCCUCCCUUAGGUCUGACCGCAGCUUAACAGAUCUGGUGACUUUUUAGCUCUCCCACUGCCCCGCCUCUUUCACCCAGUUACUAUUCCUUAACCUUCAGGUAACAGCUUAGACACUCCAAAUCUGAGACAUGUUUUACAGGCCUUCACAUCUGAAUUACAAGCUCAUAUCAUGGACAACCAUAUGCAUUCUAUACUUUCUGAUUUUUUGGUACAAUUUUGCCACCCCAUCUCCAUCCCCUAUUAGAUUGUAGAAGGAAACCAAACAAUCUUAGUCUCAGGUGCAUCCUCAGUGGCUAGUAAGUCCCUGGUGCUUAGAAGGCACUGUAUAACUAUUUGUUGAUGAGCAUCACACUUUAAUGCAAUUCUUUUUACUUCCAUCCUCUUAUUCAUCCAUUCAUGCAUUAAAUAUUUACUGAGCUGUUUUAGGUUCUGGCUUUAUAGCAGUUAAGCAAAUUCAGUCCCCAGAAGUUUAUAUUUUAAAGUGAAAUAGAUGUAUAAUAGACAAGGUAAGUAAACCACAGCUCAUGUGAGGUGGAACUCAGCAAGCAAUAGGAUUGGGACUGUGGGGAGGGCUGGAAUUCUGAACAAAGGACCAAGGAAGGUCUCACACAGAGGGUGGCACUUGGGUAAGAGUCUGCAUAAGGUGAGGUGAAAGCUGGAGGAACAGGGCUCCAGACAGAGAAGAGCGAUUGCAAAGGCCCUAAGGCAGAAGCAAGCCUGGUGUGUUCAGAGAACAGCAGAGGUCCAUGGUACAGGAAGAAUAAGGAGCAAAUAAGUGGGAGAUGAAAAUAGAGAUGUAAUUAAUUGUAUGUGCCUCAGGGACCCAGAGAUAGCUGGACACUAGUAUAGAGAAGUGACAUCUCCUGACAUGUUUUAUCAGGCUCACUCUGGCUGUGUGUUGAAUGGAAAUGGAAGUGGGUGCGGAUAGAAACAAUGAGGCCAUUUUGGAAGCCAUGGUGCCAUAUUCCAGACAAGAGAUGAUGGUGCCUUAAACUAGGUUGGCAUCAGCAGAUGCAAUUAAAUUCUAAAUAUAUUUUAAAGAUACAGCAGACAGGAUUUGCCGAUGGAGUAAAGAGAUAAUGAGAGCGGUCAGAAAUAACUCCACGAUUUUUGGCUUGAGCAACUUGUCAUUUACAGAGUAGAGAAAGACUAUGAGAGGAGAAUUCAUUUGGGGUAUGUUGAGCUUAAGAUGCCUGUUACGUGUCUAAGUGAAAAUGUUGAGACAAACACCAUACCACACCCCACAAAAGUUAACUUAUUCGAUCCUCAUAAGAACCCCCACCAUGAGGUAGGUGGUAUUCUUGACACCAUCUUACAGGAAAGAGACUGAGGCCUGAGGCCCAGAGAGGAAGAGUGACUUUUCCAAGUUUACCUAGCUGGUUGGUGGUGGAAGUGGAGAACUGGGAUUCAAGCCUAAGCAAUGAGACUCUGGAAUUCAUGCUCACUUUGCAAAACACACACACACACACACACACACGCACACACACACUCACUCCCCACCUCAUUCUAGUCACUUAAGAAAUUCCUUGCCCUAGGUCCUCAUUGAGCCCAUUUGUGAGCCAGUCACUGUGGGUGCUCUGAUUACAAUGGGUCUGAGCACUGUUGGUGCUCUGAUUAGAAUGGGUCUGAGUCACUUUCUGCGGGCCUGAUCUUGGGAGUGGAGCCCCAUAUGGGUGAGAGUAAAGCAAUGGGCAGCUCUCCAGAGGAAACUCAGGGUGUCAUCACCAGAAACAGGACAAAUAGAUGCUGGGAAAAAAAAAAAAUAUAUAUAUAUAUAUAUAUCUUAAAACCUAUUCUGAUACCAAAUUUAGCCCAUCAUACAUGGACAAAGUUUAUAUAUGAGCCAAUCCUUAUAUGCAUUUCAAACACACCCAGAACACCAACUUGUGCCAACAUUUUCUCAACAGAUUUUCUAAUAAGAUGUUUACUUGAUUCCCUGCGACAAUUAUACUUUCCAUUCUUAUACUCUAACACAAAGAGGCUGAAGGUCAAAUAUCUCAGCUGAGGGGAGGAACACAUUCUUGAAUAUUUAAGAAGCAGCUGUGAAAUGCUUUCUCAAUGCAGCAUUUUUCAGAGCCAGCUAAAAACAAAAGCAAACAAAAAUUCCAAAAGAAAGCCCAAAUAUAAUUCAUUGAAAGUAGGAAUGCUAAAUAUCAUUCACUGAUUUUUUUAAUCUUACUUUAUUUUUUAGAGAAGCUUUACGUUUACAGCAAAAUCCAGCAGAAAAUACAGAGUGUUCUCAUAUGCUCCCUUCUCCCUACACAUGCACAGUCUCCCCCACUAUCCACAUCCCACCCAGAGGGAUACAUUUGUUAAUAACAAUGAGCCAACAUGGACAUGUCAUUAUCACCCAAAGCCCGUAGUUUACAUUAGUGCUCACUCUUGAUGUUGUACAUUCUAGAGGUUUUGACAAAGGUAGAGUGAUGUCCACACACCAUUAUAGUAUUAUACAGAACAGUUUAACUGCUCAUUCAUCUCUUCCUCUCUGCAACCUCAGACUCAGAUUGGAUUCAUUCACCUAGCAAUAUGCAUUUAAGAUUCCUCCAUGUCUUUUCACAGCCUGAUAACUCAUUUCUUUUUAGCACUGAAUAGCAUUCAUUUGUCUGGAUGUAACAUAAUUUAUCUAUUUACCAAUGGAAGAAUGUCUUGGUUAUUUUGUUUUGUUUUCUGAGAGUAAAUUUUCUCACUCUAACAAAUUGCAAAAUUCUGCCUAUUAAUAUUUUACUAAAUAGUAAUCAAAGCAAAGUUCAAAUGUAUAUUUCAGAAAGACAUUCCUUCAUAAAAAGUAAUAAGCUCUACAAAUAAUUUUUCAGGUUGUAAUAACAAUUGUGUGGCUACAUAUAAUUUUGAAAAAUAAGAGUACAGAGAAAAAAUGAAACUAUUUGUAACUUCA